rnacentral:tRNA from 1 species
GCCGGGGUGGCGGAACUGGUAGACGCGCCGGAUUCAAAAUCCGGUUUCUGAAAGGAAGUGCGAGUUCGAUUCUCGCUCCCGGCACCA